GGCGGCGUAGCCAAGGGGUAAGGCGGUGGUCUGCAAAACCACUAUACAGCGGUUCAAAUCCGCUCGCCGCCUCCA
rnacentral:tRNA from 1 species